rnacentral:rRNA from 1 species
GAUGAACGCUGGCGGCGUGCUUAACACAUGCAAGUCGAACGAAGCAUUUGCGACAGAUUUUUUCGGAAUGAAGUUGCUUAUGACUGAGUGGCGGACGGGUGAGUAACGCGUGGGUAACCUGCCUUGUACUGGGGGAUAGCAGCUGGAAACGGCUGGUAAUACCGCAUAAGCGCCCAAUGUUGUAUGACAUGGUGUGAAAAACUCCGGUGGGAUAGGAUGGACCCGCGUCUGAUUAGCAAGUUGGUGAGAUAACAGCCCACCAAGGCGACGAUCAGUAGCCUACCUGUGAGAGUGACCGGCCACAUUGAGACGAGGAAACGGCGCAGACUCCUGCAGGAGGCAGCAGUGGGGGAUAUUGCACAAUCGAGUAAACGCUGAUGCACCGACGCCGCGUGAGUGAAGAAGUUGUGCAAUAUGUAAAGCUCUAUCAGCAGGGAAGAUAGUGACGGUACCUGAAGAAUAAGCUCCGGCUAAAUACGUG